UGGGGACCAGGGUGAACAGGUGGCCUUUGUGGUAGGGGAUAUUUUAAAAAGUCUCCCUAGAACAUUUAAAGUUCUCACCUUCACAGAUGCAUCUUUUUGACUGAUCCCACAGCUGGACCUAGAAAGGAACAGGGUGGUGCACGGCCCUAGGAAAUCUGGCCACAGAAUGAAACCACGCCCCAAUCUGGGCUCGGUUUGGGGGUGCAGGAGCCUUGAUGGUGACUGGCAAGGAAUGAUACGUGAAAGGGAUCAGAGAGAAACACAACGACACCCUUGCAGGAGUGUGGACAAUAAAUGGUGGUGUAACAAGCAGACAGGAGCUGUCCCUACCGAAGGCUUUCCUAGGACAUGGUAAUGGCUGUAUUUCUUUAAAGGGAUUUAUUGGCAUAACAAGCGUUUGACCAAUAUGUUUUCAAAACAUGUGACUUUGACUGUUCUGAUCCGGGUUUCUGAAGUGUAGACGUGGGCUGCAUUGACCAUCUACCUACGCAAGGGCACAGCCGAGGGUAAGAAGCCAAGUUUGGAGAGACUGCGUUUUACUGAGGAGGUGCGUGGAAGAAUGCUAACAUCUGAAAAUGGUUCGAAUAGAGUUUUCUCUUAUCUAGGGACAUUCUUGACUUUCCCCACUGUCCUUGACCAAAGACAGUUAAUUUUCUUGUACAUAUCCUUUUUCAUAAUCCAUGUGAAUUUACCCCAAACGUUAGAACCAAAAGCCCUACAUUGAUUUUAUUUAAGUUUUUUAAGAGAGUUUUAUUUUUGGCUGCAGUUAUUUGGAAUAGAUCUUACCCUACUGAGCUUUUAUUUUUAAUGACUGAAAACUGGCAAAAUCUUUCUCUAGGAACAUGUGCUAAACAAGAUGUGCCCCAUUUUCACAAAGCAAAGACACGCUCUGGACUCUGCUUCCUAGUCCCUAGAUUUUUAAGAAUUCUUUGAACCUGAUGGUCCCACACAGACGCCAGGACUGGUGAGGGACAGCUCUGUGCCCUGUCCCUCCUGGGCCCUCAGUCUUCUCCCUUUGGGUCUCGAGCAGGACA
rnacentral:lncRNA from 1 species